CCUACGGGAGGCAGCAGUGGGGAAUAUUGGACAAUGGGCGAAAGCCUGAUCCAGCCAUGCCGCGUGUGUGAAGAAGGCCUUCGGGUUGUAAAGCACUUUCAGUGGGGAAGAAAGCCUUGGGGCUAAUACCCUCGAGGAAGGACAUCACCCACAGAAGAAGCACCGGCUAACUCCGUGCCAGCAGCCGCGGUAAUACGGAGGGUGCGAGCGUUAAUCGGAAUUACUGGGCGUAAAGCGCGCGUAGGCGGUCUGAUAAGCCGGUUGUGAAAGCCCCGGGCUCAACCUGGGAACGGCAUCCGGACCUGUCAGGCUAGAGUGCAGGAGGGGAAGGUGGAAUUCCCGGUGUAGCGGUGAAAUGCGUAGAGAUCGGGAGGAAUACCAGUGGCGAAGGCGGCCUUCGGGACUGACACGGACGCUGAGGUGCGAAAGCGUGGGUAGCAAACAGGAUUAGAUACCCUAGUAGU
rnacentral:rRNA from 1 species